AGUGCCUCCCUGUCACCCCUCCCUUCACCUAAACGGCCAAGGUCAACAGUGCCAAAUCCAAACCCUCCUGUGACGGUCCCGUCCCCGGUGCAUGAUGAGGACAUGACCACUCGUGGUCUGCUCAGGGGGAUCAUUCAGACGGAGACCGAAGCAUCGCUGCUGAUGUCUGGUCAGCCUGCGCUUCAGGAAUCAGAGGCGAAUCCAGCCGAGGCCAGUGUGUCCAGCACCGGAGAGAGAACGUCAGUACCUCUUCAAUCACAUAUACUUGUAACCCUCUUCAUGUUGUGCUCAUGUGUGUGUUUUCCUCAGUGAAGGUCUGUCUGGAGUGGAGCUGUCUGAUCUGACUCUAAACACUAAACCCCUGACGCAUGUAGUCAAAGGACUGAGCCACAGGAAACAUGAUUGCAAACAGUAUAGUCGAGGUUCAUGUUUGGAUUUGUUACAGUUCAGGUUUUCUUGCAGAUUUAGUCGCAGCAAACAGCGCAAACUGCCAUGUGAAAGAAAACAGACAGGCUGUAUUAAACUUUCAUUUGAGAAAAAUAUCGCAGUGGAGAUCGCUGAACUCCAACUUACAUGUUGGCAGGUGUUUUCAGAUGAUCAGUGCUUGAUUUGCACAUGGUUGCCAGGUUGGGAAGAUUAAGUAAAACACUGGGCUAAUGUAUCUAUUUCAGAAAAAGGUUGCAGACGAAUAUGCUUAAAUAAUGGAGAAAAAUAGAAAUAAUGAUUGUGAUUAAAAUCUGAUUUAUCGGACUAUAAGAAGAUGUAAGGAUUGAUUGUAUGAUUGAGCCAUUUUGUGUGCUUCAUUCAAAUGUAUUUUCUGUCAGUGGCCUGAACCUGACCUUGAAGACCCCAUUUGUAGAGAAGCACAUUGAGAGGGCGGGGCUUCAGAGGAAGGUGUCCAAUCGGAGGCUACCAUCUGUGGAUGCAUUUGAUGAGGCCGUUCAGAGAUGCUUGGUGCAGGGUCCCAACCAAGAUCACUCUGUAUUUCAGGAUGGAAAAACUCUAGAAGAUUCUUCAUGGCAGAAGUUCACACUCGGCCUCAAUGAUGUCACAGAGCUUUAUGCCCAGCUUAAUAAAGACGACAAAGUGGGACCGUCUGCAGAGAUGGAGAGGGAUGCAGAGAACGAGCGAGAACAUGAGCUUGAGCGAGCCAGUGAGAUUCCAGACUCAGAACCUUUAAUUCAAGAAGGAAAAGAUCAUGAGAUGGAAUCACAGGAUGAUGAGGAAGAGGAAUAGGUGGUGCUUUCAUCCCAAGAAAAUGUGUUUUUGAGUCCAGAAGAUGAUAUUGUACUUGCUCCAACGCAGACAAUGACAGAAUUACUUCCUGAAUCUCGUGAUGUGCAGCUAGAAGAUCGAGAAUUUGUGCAGGAAGUUGAGAUUGGGAACGUUGUGGAAAUUGAGGAUGAGAAUGUUGAGGAAAUCGAGGAUGAGGAGGUUGUUAAAGCUGAACAUGAAAAUGUUGAAGAGAACCCAGACACCUCACAGUGUCUAGACUAGAGCGAAUAACUCGUAGAGCUCACCGCUCAGAGGGAGGAGGCUCUGUCGUGGGAAUUCCAGCUGCCACGGGAGUCACAAAGAGUUUUGGAGCUGGAUUGAACCCCAGAGAGAAAGGUGAGGACUGCUUGAAGUGACAAAAUCACAAAGUUCUUCACCAGAGACUAGGGCUGCGGUUGUUUUGAGUAGCUCAAUUGUAUGAUAUGCGGUAUUAUUGACAUAUAUAGAAAUAUAAAGUGUUUGUGUGUUGUGAUGUAACA
ensembl:lncRNA